UACGAAGGGUGCUAGCGUUGUUCGGAAUCACUGGGCGUAAAGCGCGCGUAGGCGGUUAUUCAAGUCAGGGGUGAAAUCCUGAGGCUCAACCUCAGAAUUGCCUUUGAAACUGCAUAACUGGAGUGUCGGAGGGGAUAGCGGAAUUCCCAGUGUAGUGGUGAAAUACGUAGAGAUUGGGAAGAACACCAGUGGCGAAGGCGGCUAUCUGGACGGUUACUGACGCUAAGACUCGAAAGCGUGGGGAGCAAACAGG
rnacentral:rRNA from 1 species